AUUGAACGCUGGCGGCAGGCCUAACACAUGCAAGUCGAACGAGUGGCGGACGGGUGAGUAAUGUCUGGGAAACUGCCUGAUGGCGGGGGAUAACUACUGGAAACGGUAGCUAAUACCGCAUACCAUCAGAUGUGCCCAUAUGGGAUUAGCUAGUUGGUGGGGUAACGGCUCACCAAGGCGACGAUCCCUAGCUGGUCUGAGAGGAUGACCAGCCAAACUGGGACUGAGACACGGUCCAGACUACUACGGGAGGGAGCAGGGGGGAAUAUGGCACAAUGGGCGCAAGCCUGAUGAAGCCAUGACGCGUGGAUGAAGAAGGCCGUCGGGUUGGAAAGGACUUUAAGCGGGGAGGCGUUAACCGCAGAAGAAGCACCGGCGAACUCCGGGCCAGCAGCCGCGGGAAUAC
rnacentral:rRNA from 1 species